GUCCACGCCUAACGAUGUCGACUAGUCGUUCGGAGCAGCAAUGCACUGAGUGACGCAGCUAACGCGUGAAGUCGACCGCCUGGGGAGUACGGCCGCAAGGUUAAACUCAAGGAAUUGACGGGGACCCGCACAAGCGGUGGAUGAUGUGGAUUAAUUCGAUGCAACGCGAAACCUUACCUACCCUUGACAUGUCUGGAACCUUGCUGAGAGGCGAGGGUGCCUUCGGGAGCCAGAACACAGGUGCUGCAUGGCUGUCGU
rnacentral:rRNA from 1 species